rnacentral:rRNA from 1 species
GAUGAACGCUGGCGGCGUGCCUAAUACAUGCGAGUCGAGCGAACAGACGAGGAGCUUGCUCCUCUGACGUUAGCGGCGGACGGGUGAGUAACACGUGUAUAACCUACCUAUAAGACUGGGAUAACUUCGGGAAACCGGAGCUAAUACCGGAUAAUAUAUUGAACCGCAUGGUUCAAUAGUGAAAGACGGUUUUGCUGUCACGUAUAGAUGGAUCCGCGCCGCAUUAGCUAGUUGGUAAGGUAACGGCUUACCAAGGCAACGAUGCGUAGCCGAGCUGAGAGGGGGGUCGGCCACACUGGAACUGGGACGCGGUCCAGACUCCUACGGGAGGCACCAGUAGGGAAUCUUCCGCAAUGGGCGAAAGCCUGACGGAGCAACGCCGCGUGAGUGAUGAAGGUCUUCGGAUCGUAAAACUCUGUUAUUAGGGAAGAACAAAUGUGUAAGUAACUAUGCACGUCUUGACGGUACCUAAUCAGAAAGCCACGGCUAACUACGUG